UACAGAGCAUCGCAACUGGACAAGCUAGGGGACCAGGCUGCUAUGAUAACUGCUAUUCUACAGUCACGUUUGGCCAGAACAUCAUUUGAUAAGAACAGAUUUCAGAACAUUUCUGAAACGCUGCAUAUGGAAUGUAAAGCGGAAAUGGUCACUCCAUUGGUAACUAAUCCAGGACAUGUAUGCAUCACUGAUGCAAACCUGUAUUUCCAGCCUCUCAAUGGC